UUCUUACGCACCCUCGACUGAUCACGCGCAGUCACACUAUUCGCACACCCCGCUGUCGACCGCUAUCAGAGCAUCGUUUCUGAAGCAAGCAAAAAUGGAGAGGAUUUCUGCAGCCUGUGCUAUGGAAUGGAGCAUUGAGCUUGAGAAGGCCCUUCGCUCUAAAAAACCUGGACAAGCUAUUGAGGGCAUACAACGAAUUGGCAAAAGAAUUCAGGAGUGGAGUAAAGAACCCAAACCAACUAUGGCAGUUUAUAACAUGUUUGGGUUAGUUACAGGAGAGGAUAGGCUCUUUGCCAAUACAAUUCUAUUACGGCUUGCUGAUGCAUUCAGGUUUGGUGACAGAGAAACAAGGGUUUCUAUAGUAAAGGUUUUCUUGUUGGAGCUCAAGAGCCGUGAUAAUAAGAAAAUGAAAGGUAGACAGUAUAGAGGGAUUUUGUCAAAGGACAGGGUGCAAAAUCAUGUGGAACUUCUGAAAAGAGUUAAAAUAGUUUUUGAUACCGGAGAUGUUGAUUCAAGGGCCUUGGCAUUGGCUCUCUUUGGCUGUUGGGCUCCUUUCGCAAAAGACAGCGCUCAUGUACGAUACCUCAUACUUUCCAGUAUGAUCUCCUCUGAUGUUUUGCAGGUACAGGCAUCAUUAUUUGCUGCAGGUUGCUUUUGUGAGUUGGCAGGUGACUUUGUCCCUGUUGUCUUAGAGAUGUUGGUUAAUAUGGUCACUUCAUCUGAAACAUUGUUGACCAUAAGAUUUGCUGGAACACGAGUUUUUGCUAAAAUGGGGCCUUCAUAUUCUGUUGCAAGUAAAGCCUACAAGACAGGCCUAAAGUUGUUAGACUCUUUGGAAGAAGACCUUGUGGUUACAAUGCUGGUUUCUCUCACAAAACUUGCAUCGAAAUCAACCCUUCUAUUAUUGGAACAGGUGGAUUUGCUUUUACUGUUCCUUAGCCAAGAGAAAGAUUUGCUAUUGCAAGCAACAGCUUUAAGAUGCCUUCACUUCAUAUUUAUGAGAGGAGUUGUUUACUCUUCUGUCAGUGCAGAUGGAAUCAAAACAUUUUCCAGAAUUGUAGACGAAGCUGACCUUCCAUUAUCCAUGCAAUGCGAAGCUUUACAAAUUCUGCAUAAGAUGCUUUUAUAUAGACUACAUAAUCUACCUCAAGACAACAUGCUGGAAUUAUCUCCUCUUUUGACUACCAUUGAGAAUUCAGCCGAGUCUUCUAUUAUGUCAAAGAGCCUUCUAGCCAUAAAUGUUCUAGCAGAUUUAUCAAUGAAGCUCAGCAGAAGAGCUGAAAUGGAAUCUGGUGGGAAUUCUUUCUCUCCUCUGCUAACACGAACCAUCUCCAUAAUUAUUGAUCGGGUUAUUUCGCUGGUGAAGCCAUUGUUAGUUCUCUGCCAGGCUGGUGCAGGAGUCCUUCAGGAAGUUCAAAGCCUGCUCAGUCUUUUACUUUCUUUGGUUAGAGAACAUUCAGAUCUGGGUGUCUCUGUACUGGAUAAAGUUAGGUUAUUUAUUGAGUAUCUUGUGGAUGUACAUGAAGGCAACAUAGUUAUAAGGCAAGAAAGUUUAUCAGUUCCAGAGGUUUUUGACUUUAAAGGAGAAAAUGUGGGCAUUAGUUUGAAGCUGGCAUAUUAUGUCCAUAAAUUUUCUGUUAAUUGCAUUGAAAUUAUGAAUGAAGCUGGUGCCAUCACCACCCAAUUAGUUGACAAAGUAAAGCUUCUAGUUCAGUCUGUGCAUCGCUGCGGUUUAUUUCAUUGGUAUGUACUUAUAAUGUACUCCAUACUGCUGCACUCUCAUUCAAUGUGGAGUUAUGUAGUUCAUAACAAGAAGGAAAGUUGCAAUCCUGAUAGCAACUUGAAUUGUUCACUUUGUAGUGAGUUGGUUGAGCGUGAAUUUUUCACCCUUGAUUGUGCAAAAAAACUGUUGGCAGAGAGGGAUAACUGGUCUGCCUAUAAAGCUGGGACAUUUGCAGCAUGUCAGGGAGCAUGGAUCACAGCUGCAUUUGUAUUUGAGCAACUAACAAGUAAGGUUCAAUCUGGAUCCUGCUCUUGCUGGUUAAAAUCAUUAACUCAAUUUGCUCAAACUGAGAGUAAAUUCCAGUUCUAUCCCAUAACACAAUGGGGUUUCAGUUUGGCAGAUCGGUCAAAGAUGAAUGAAUUUCCAGUUAUGUUUUUCCAGGACUUUUCUGAUGAACUUGGUCAAGGUGCUGUUGAGAAUAUCCGUGACCCUAAUUAUACUGAAAUGCUUCAUCAGGCUCAUCAUGGACUUUGUUCUUCAAGGAAAACAUUAGAAUCCAUCGUCACAUCCGAUAAAUCAUUCUGUUUCCAGAGAUGGUUUUUAGCUAUAAGGGUGGAACUCCUAGGAACUAUGGCGGAUGUUGUUAAAGUCUUGGGUGCCACCCCACUUAGUGAGGACAGUAUUAGCAACAAUAGAAAGGGUGAGAAAAAAGAUGAGUAUCUCAACUCUUUGCGACAAAUUACUCAAUCAUCUUUCCGGUUGAACAGGCUGGUUCAGGAAUAUGAUUUAAUUUCCAUGUCUUUCAUUGGAAUGGACAGCAGAAGUUCAAAGAUCAUUUCUACACUUGCAUUAAGUUGUUUGCUGUUGGCUUUUGCUACUGGAUUUGCUAUUUCAAUUUCAGACCAGCUUGCGAAUGAAAUUUUAAUGCCUUGUGAUUUGGAAAACUCCAAGCACUAUUUACAAGGAAUGCUGGUGCGAAAUUUAAUUAGGCGGUUAUGGCACUUGGACCAAGAUACAAUUUCACAUCUGUGCUUGGUUUUAGGUGUUGGUGUACAGCCUAAUGAUAAUUUUCACCAAUCUAGAAGUCAAAGAUUGAACAUUAGUGGUGAAGAAAGAGAUAUUCUUGAUGUUUGCAAUUAUAUUGUUGCUGGCAUUGUUGCAUUAAAAGAAGAGGCAAAUAGAAAGAAAAAUGAGGAGAUUCUCUCCCAAGUUACCAAGGAUGGUUUCCAACUUCUCUUGAACACUAUCACGAAGUGGAUGCGCAUCCCUUUUCAGGUGCCAACAUAUUUCUUUAAAAUAAGGCCUUGCAUUGGGUCAGAGCUCUUUGUCUUCAAUGCAGAUGCCAGAAACUCGAAUCAGUUGUCUGUCUUGCCAGGCUUCAACUUAUCGCUGAAUCUUUGUCUUCAAUUAAGAAAUCUGCCGCCAGAUCUUCCAUUCGUAGUCACCAGGUCUUAUUGUGUCCUUUACUCUAGUAUGUCUUUUCAAGAGUGCAAGGAAAAUGGAGAAACCAAGGGGCAAUUUCUGUGGGAAAAUGGACCUUUGGACACUGACAACUUGAUUCAAAUGAAUGAAAAAUUGUUUCACCAUGUAACAGAGUGUACAAAGAAGACUAGUAACAGUAAACGUGGCAGGGAAAAAGACAUUGAUUCUGAUGAGAUUAUUACUGGAUUUGUGUGUUUUGAUCUAAUCGAUGCAAGGAAAGGGUUUUCAAAUUGCCUUCUUGAUGUUUCUCAUUUUCCAGAAGGAUCUUAUAGAAUCAAAUGGCAGAGCUGUUGUAUUGACAGUCAAGGUUCCUAUUGGAGCCUCCUUCCAUUAAAUACAGGACCAGUGUUUACAGUACAGAAGCCCACUGCUGUAUAAUUAUCCACAAGUCGUUUUGACAAUGAUUAAAACACAUUUAUAGACCUGCCGACUUGGUUGCCAUGCAUGGAUCACAAUGAAAGGUGUUGCAUACAGGUCAACAAUGAGAAGCCAAGUACCAUAGACAGGAAAAGAGGAGCUUGGUCUUGGCAUCGCUGGAACUAUGUGAUGAGAUGAAUUUCAUGUUUCCUGUAAAGGUGAACCUUGAGGAGCAGUCUCAAGUCAAGUGCCAUAGCUACCUCAGAGAUUUCGUGGGGAUUCUCCAUUAUGUUUAAAUAUGGUGCUAACUCUGCUUAUUUUAUGUGGUUGCUUGCUUGCUUGUAAAUUUGUAGACAUUUCAACAUCUUUAAUGGGUUACUCUGUUUUUGUGGAGAGGAGCCACAUCAAAUAUCUUCCAGUUCUUGGCUAUGAUUUGGCACAACAUGUUAUUAACUACUCGUAUCAGGCAGUUCCUCUGUGAACACCUUAUGAAACUUUAAAGCAGUGACUCGCUGCCACAUACUGCAAUAAACAAAAAUAUCAAAUUUCAACCAUCCUCUGCAACAACAGUGCCAAGCCAUUACAUGUUUGAUGCGUCUAGGUAAGGAGAACCAUGCUUCCCUGCUCAAAGAAAGUAACUAUGUAAUUCUUACCCGGAGGUUGUGUUCCCUGCAAAGAAUUUAAGAAUUAUCUUCGGUUUGUAAGAUCGUUGGAUAAUAAAUUCUUAACAAGGUUGAUUGCUCUGUUCUAGGCAUCUGGUUUUCUAGCGGACAAUGGAUUCGAUGCAGGUUCAGUGAUUGUCAGAACAGUGAUUGCUCUUUUCGUGGAGAUUUUGGGUUACAGAACCAUUGGGGUUCAAGGUGUUAAGCUUCUGAAUAGCAAAGAAAUUCAUUCAGCAUUUGGGAGAUAACUGCUGCAGAUGUUUGUACUCCUGGCAGGAGAUGAAAUUUGUUCAUAGGAGAAAAUCUUUAAUUUAGAACUCAAGCUCAUAGUCCUUCAUGCUUGGAAGAUCAGAACACUUUGGGAACUAUUAGUUAGCUGUGUGAAAUUGAUGACAGUUGUAAUUUUGUGUGAUUGUUUGAUUGUAAGAUUACUAGAUGCGCAACUGGAAUGCUGUAGAAA